rnacentral:rRNA from 1 species
AGGAUACCCAACUCUUGAUACUUUGAUGGCCUCUCUGAGUCUUCUGUACUGAAUAAGUCAAAACUUUCAACAACGGAUCUCUUGGUUCUGGCAUCGAUGAAGAACGCAGCGAAAUGCGAUAAGUAAUGUGAAUUGCAGAAUUCAGUGAAUCAUCGAAUCUUUGAACGCACAUUGCGCCCGCCAGUAUUCUGGCGGGCAUGCCUGUUCGAGCGUCAUUU